CGAAAUCCCAUCAAUUGUCACUCACAACCACACGACAAAGGACUUUCCUCCUCCGUCUAAUUCUUGCAACAUCAGUAUCAAAUCCAAACAACAGAGGAGAAUGAAGACUUUUUUUAAUCACUUUUUUGCUCAUUUUUGCUCUUCUGCUCAGCAACUCAUUUACUGAACCCACCGUGGCCGCAUACUAUUACUGUGGACAGAAAUGCAAGGAAAGGUGCGCGAAGGCGGGCGUGGUGGACCGGUGCCUCAAGUACUGUGGAAUAUGCUGUCAAAUAUGCAAGUGCGUUCCUUCUGGGACUUAUGGGAACAAGCACCAGUGCCCUUGCUACAGGGACAUGAGAAACUCCAAGGGCAAGCCCAAAUGCCCUUGAAUAUCUACUUAUUUACUUACCAGCCAUGAAAUUAAAAUUUGUACAACCUUUAGUUUAGAUUAAGGUUUGAUUGUACUAAGACUGAGUUUGGAAUUUCUAAAUAAGAGGACCGUCAGUUUGGUUCCUCUGUAUUCCCAGCAGUGUGUGGAUCCACAUUUUCAUUGAGGGUGACCUUUGUCUUGGAACAA